CAGCCGCCGCGGGAAUACGGAGGGGGCUAGCGUUGUUCGGAAUUACUGGGCGUAAAGCGCACGUAGGCGGCUUGGUAAGUUAGAGGUGAAAGCCCAGGGCUCAACCCUGGAAUUGCCUUUAAGACUGCCGAGCUAGUAGGUGAGAGAGGUAAGUGGAAUUCCGAGUGUAGAGGUGAAAUUCGUAGAUAUUCGGAAGAACACCAGUGGCGAAGGCGGCUUACUGGCUCAUUCUAGACGCUGAGGUGCGAAAGCGUGGGGAGCAAACCGGAUUAGAUACCCCCGUAGUCCCUGUCUCUUAUAC
rnacentral:rRNA from 1 species